GGAGUUUGGACCGUGUCUCAGUUCCAAUGUGGGGGACCUUCCUCUCAGAACCCCUACUGAUCGUCGGCACGGUGGGCCGUUACCCCGCCGUCUACCUAAUCAGACGCAUCCCCAUCCACAAACGAUAAAUCUUUAAUCAUAAUCAGAUGUCCUCUUAUGACCACAUAAGGUAUUAAUUCGAUUUUCACCGGGCUAUUCCUUAUUUGUGGGAAGGUUGGAUACGCGUUACUCACCCGUGCGCCGGUCGCCAUCAACAGUAGCAAGCUACCGUCAUGCUGCCCCUCGACUUGCAUGUGUUAAGCCUGUAGCUAGCGUUCAUC
rnacentral:rRNA from 1 species